UGGGCCAAAAAACAAGACCCGUUCAUUUCGGAAUCGCCAACCAAACACUGCAUUGUGGGUAGGGUUUAGCUCCCAAAAACCCUUUCAUCUUUUACACAGCUUUCAACUCCACUCUUCACCUCCAAAAUUUAGAGAAAAGAAAAUUUAAAAUUCAGAAAUGGCUAUUGCCGCCGCAUCAACCGCCGCCAGAUCCGUUUUCCGGUCGUCAACCGUCCGUAACGCCGCCACGAGGCUUGCAUCUCAAGCAAAAUCUGCUCGCUCCUCGCCCUUCCGCCUCCCAGCCAGAGCUCCGGUACUCGCUAAUCGCAUCCUACGGUCUCCCGUUGAAAUGAGUGCGUGCCUGGAGUCGAUGCAGCCGUACCACACCGCUACUGCCUCAGCGUUGAUGACAUCAAUGCUCACCGUCUCUCGCUGCGGGUUUGGCUGGCUUGCUGAAGGUAUCUAGCGACGUAGAGCCCUCUUUGCUGACCCUGUCCUCCUUUCAUAUCUCGCUUGCAAUGAUGAUCUGUGAUCGAUACCAUCUUUCAAGGUCUCCAGCAAGGUUGUGAUGAUGCAUAGUGGAAGUACUACUCUUGACUUGACACUGCUGUAAUGAGUUUUCAAGUUGUUGGGAUCUCCUUUGAAGUUCUGGUGUUUCCCUUUCAUGAGAAAUUAUUUUCUGGAUAAGUGUAAAAUAUUUUAGAUAAUCCUUCUAGACAUCAUCAUCCCUGUUCUAGAUGUAUUCUCAUCCAGGCUAGAGCUUCAGACACCUGAUUUCUGAUUAGUGUCAGCAUUGGUACUACUAUAAUGUUAGGCAUGUAAGAAUGAAAGCUUUUUCUGCACAUUUAGGUUCAAAAUUGGUGACUAAUUAGGAGCUUUUCUUGUCAAUUUCACUUCGGAAUGAGAAGAAUGAUGCUGAUUUCAACUUAUUAGGUCUGUCUUUCCUGGAUUUAUGCAAAUGAAGGAAGACAAUGAGAAGAGCAUGCUGUUUGAAUGA